GAUGAACGCUAGCGGCAGGCCUAACACAUGCAAGUCGAGGGGCAGCACAGAAACAGCAAUGUUUUGGUGGCGACCGGCGGACGGGUGCGUAACGCGUAUGCAACCUACCUUUAACAGGGGGAUAACGGAGAGAAAUUUCCACUAAUACCCCAUAACAUCGAUCAAGGCAUCUUGAUUGGCUGAAAACUCCGGUGGUUAAAGAUGGCAUGCGUUGUAUUAGGUAGUUGGUGAGGUAAUGGCUCACCAAGCCUACGAUACAUAGGGGGACUGAGAGGUUAGCCCCCCACACUGGUACUGAGACACGGACCAGACUCCUACGGGAGGCAGCAGUGAGGAAUAUUGGUCAAUGGGGGCAACCCUGAACCAGCCAAGCCGCGUGCAGGAAGACGGCUCUAUGAGUUGUAAACUGCUUUUAAACAGGGAUAAAGCACAGUAUGUAUACUGUGUUGAAGGUACUGUAAGAAUAAGGAUCGGCUAACUCCGUGCCAGCCGCCGCCGUAA
rnacentral:rRNA from 1 species